CUGGUCAGUCACCUACAUGACAGCAUUCAAAUGUCAACUCUCCUCUUCCCCCUCAUUAACAACAAUUACUAGUCAUGAUACCAUUAAGAUAUGGUGCGCCAAGUUGCAAGACACUAACAUAUCUAUCACAAGUCAAAAAACCAACUCUGUGAGGGAAAGACACGAAUAACACCAGAAUGACAUUUGUUGCAUUUGAAGUCCUUUCAUGAGGGACCACCGUAAACAGAGAAAUGAUUCCAUGUAACUGAUAAACGAGAAAAGAAGAUAAUUAACAAAACUGGAAAUAUGUGAUUGACAAGUGGAUGCAUAACUUAAUUUUACCAUUGUAUAGUACGAGGAGCAUGGGGAGAACUUCAUCGACAUGCUGGAUGGUGUCUUCUCCUUCGUCUUGCUCGAUACACGCGACAACAGCUUCAUUGCUGCACGUGAUGCCAUUGGCGUCACACCCCUCUAUAUUGGCUGGGGAAUUGAUGGUAAGUCGAUACCUACCCUCAGACAAUCUUGUCACGGAGUAGUGAUACUACCUAGUCAAGAAUAAGUAAAAUAUGUCUAACAUUACCUGCUCAUGUUCUGCAAAUUGCCAGGGUCGGUAUGGAUAUCAUCAGAGGUGAAGGGCCUGAAUGAUGAUUGUGAGCACUUUGAGAUCUUUCCUCCUGGCCAUCUCUACUCCAG
rnacentral:lncRNA from 1 species